UUUUUCUCUUCACAGGUUUCAGCCAAUCAGAGAGCAGCACUACUGAAAUAGAACUCCCAGGAGGAGCAGCGUGUCACACAUGUGAUGUCAUAACCAUUGACCACCAGAGAGCAGCACUGAGCAGAUAUAACACGGCUCCUGCUCAUUCUUCAUCAUUGAGGGGCCGGUGCUGGACACUGUAGGGACGCGGGAAUGUGAAGUCAAAAACAUGACUGUGACUGAUGCACUUUUUCCAGCAUGUGGAGUAGCAUUUCCGGACUUAAAGCAAGAAGUUGGAUGAUGGCCUAGAUUUCCGGACUUACAGCAAGACGUUGGAUGAAGGCCUAGAUUUCCGGACCUACAGCAAGAAGUUGGAUGAAGGCACAGCCCCUCGAAUCACGCACAUACACUGACACAUUGGCCCAAAUUCUAGAGGUAACCUCCUUUAGUAUGCCCAGAGGAAGGGCAGUACAGUAGCCAUGGAUUCCCUACAGGUUUCCUCCCCUCUGGAGGUUUUUCCUGUCCUGAGUUAGUUACUGUCCGCUCUUUGUGAGUGAUGGAGGUUACAAAAAAUCCCCUACACAAACAUUUUUGUAAAUAAUAAAUAAAGUUUC